rnacentral:rRNA from 1 species
CCUCGGGUGGCAGCAGUGAGGAAUAUUGGUCAAUGGCCGGAAAGCUGAACCAGCCAUGCCGCGUGAAGGUCAGUGCCCUAUGGGCGUUAAACUUCUUUUGUGCGGGAGCAAUAAUGGUCACGUGUGGCCAGACGAGAGUACCGUACGAAUAAGCAUCGGCUAACUCCGUGCCAGCAGCCGCGGUAAUACGGGGGGUGCCAGCGUUAACCGGAGUUAUGGGGUUUGAAGGGUGCGAAGGAAGUGGGGUAAGUCAGCGGGGAAAUGUCCCCGCACAACGGGGUGAAGUGCAAUUGAUACUGCCUGGAUGGAGUGCGGAUGGGGCGGGAGGAAUGUGUGGUGUAGCGGUGAAAUGCAUAGAUAUCACACAGAACACCGAUUGCGAAGGCA